AGUAGAGAUUACUUACCUUGCAAUAAUCCCCUAUCAGGUUAUAUAAUACUUCACGGGUACUCCUCAAAAUCUAAUAAUCCAAAAUACAUACAUGUACUCUGAAAUCAGUACCAUAUUAUUGUCUUGCAAUAAUCCAUAAAACUCCCUAAAAUUCUAAAUCCCAAAUUUUUUGUUAAUUGCCCUCCUCUACGUAAUAGCUCUAAUCUAAGAUUUAUUUAUCCUAUCAAAUAGUACCC
rnacentral:lncRNA from 1 species